GGAUAUGUAGCUCAACGGUAGAGCGACAGCAAGGAACGGCAGCGCAUAUAAUUGUCACCACAGAAGCGCGGAGUGGCAAGCCUAAUCCCCUCGACAGUAGGAUGAUUGUUCGAAUCAAUCCAUAUCCCA
rnacentral:tRNA from 1 species